rnacentral:misc_RNA from 1 species
UCCGGCUUGUCACCGGCAGUUUUUCUAGAGUUCUCGGCAUAACCCGUUAGCAACUAAAAAUGAGGGUUGCGCUCGUUGCGGGACUUAACCCAACAUCUCACGACACGAGCUGACGACAGCCAUGCAACACCUGUCUCUGUGCCAGCCGAACUGAAGAACUUCCAUUACAAAGUUCAUACACAGGAUGUCAAGGGUUGGUAAGGUUUUUCGCGUAGCAUCGAAUUAAACCACAUGCUCCACCGCUUGUGCGGGUCCCCGUCAAUUCCUUUGAGUUUUAAUCUUGCGACCGUACUCCCCAGGCGGAGUGCUUAACGUGUUAACUGUGUCACUGAGGAAAACCCCAACGACUAGCACUCAUCGUUUACGGCGUGGACUAC